GAGUGUGGUGUAGUGGUUAGCAUAUCGGUCUGGGUCUUGGGAUACCAGGGUUUGAAUCCCCUGCUCCACCA